UGACGAACAAUCAAGUUGAUUAUUACACACUAGAGAUAACAAAAUCCACAACACCAUCAUCGAGGGAUGAAGCUAAAUCUGGCAAGAUAAUUAGAGCCACAUUGGGGAACCUAACUCUAUCACUACAGUAGUUGUAGAUGGUGAACUUCUCUCGGACCCACUGCAAUCUCCGGAACUGCUCAGCGUCAAGGUCCUGGAACUCCUUCUGGUCCCACCACCGCUUGCCCUGGGUGUCGCAGAACUUGGCUUCAACUGAGGCCUCGCAGCCAUCGACAUGGAAGCUCUUGUAGGAGGCCAUGAACGGGGCCUUGGCCCAGUCGGUCUUCUCGAGCCCCCCGCGUGUGGCCCAGUCGUCGGCGUUCCACAGGCUCGAGUAGAUCUUCAUCGGCUGGUCGAAGGGGAACUUCACCCCGAGGUCCUUGCUGUUCUUGAACACUCUUAUGGGCACAUCAUCCACAAAAAACCUAUUGGGUACAUCACAUUUCCGAGACACAAUUAGACCGAAAUAUUUCAUUUAGGAUAAAAAAAUAUCUGUGGUUCAAAGAUUGUAGAACGGCAUCAGAUCAAACAGAGUAUGUGCCAAGUGCAAUUAGAAGAUAUAACUUGACUUUAGUUUCAUAAAAGUCGGAAUCUUUAAA